ensembl:lncRNA
GAAGGAGCAGGAGAUAACACUGUGACCUGACCCAUUAUCAGAAGCAGACAACGUUUCCUCAGAACUCCUUUUGUGCUGGAGUUAAGGAUAGCCCGGUGCAACUCUCUCGCUCUCAGAUAAAAGCCCCAACGAUUCGUCUUCUUCUUUCAUAUCCUCCAACAUAUCGUCUGGGCUUCUGUCACAGCGUGGGUUGAAGCUGCACGUUCUCACGGUUUCCUUUAUUUUCGCCACCCAGCAUACUUAUGGGGCUGGACUUCUGUAAGCCCUGCGGGAACGGUUUCCAAGCGGAGAGAGAUCCAGGACUGACCGGUGGCGACUGCCCCUGUACGACUGCCAACUGUGGGACCUGCGGGGACCGCUGCUGUGACGUCUUCUGCCAGGUGUGCGUGGGGGUGUGUUGCGGCCUGUGCUCGGGGGACUGUAGCUACACAUUCUGCCACCUCUGUCUGGUUGUCACGCAGGACCUAGUCAAAGUGAUCUCUGCCACAACCCCGCCGUCGGACAAGGAAGGAUAUGCCAAAUCCAAAAAAGCAUGGCUAAAAAUACCUCAAGCAGACGCUCAAGAAAUCAUUGACGCACAAGCCAAGGUUGUGCGACAUCUGUAGCAGAAGUGCGUGGCGCAGCGGUUGUCAAGGUGUUGUGGGGGGGAGAUAAGAGGCACCGGCCCCCCGACAGGAGGCAUGACCAAUCUGACAGCUGCUGGAAGCUCUGUGGUGCGUGGACCGGGGACUGUUUGAUCAGCCUGGAGUGUGGCCCCGUCCCGGCGGGGCAUCUGCCUACGCCUUCACCACGGGCGCCGAUUGGGCGUCGUGCAUGCGUGCUAAGAGUGAAGAUAGUGGCGCCCGGCCCAACUCCUGCCAUCCUGCAGCUCAUCAGCAGAACUCCACCAGAGCCACGCCAGGCGGUGCCGGCUGCGGCACCACCCAUCGCACCACCCGCUCCCGUUCGGUUUCAUGUUCAUCCAAAGGCUGGAUAAGGACACCUAAAAAAGACUGUUGGCUACAGCGAGGUUGUUCUACCCAGCUCCCGACGAAGGAGGCCAGGAUUGUGAGGGGGGCUAUGUCCCGUUUAUGAUGCACUGUGUUCGUUUCUAUGUGUUUUUCUUGUGUUGCCCUCUGGGAAGUGGUGAUGCCUAUUUAUACACAUUGAUGAUGUGCUGGUUAUAUUUCUCGAGGCAAAGCAAACAUUUGGUGUCACGUUGGGUUAUACUUAACAAAUAUAUGAUCUGAUUUAGCUUCAUUAUCUGAAGACUGUUGAGCAAACAAACGCACAGCAGUCCAUAGACAAAUAAUUCCUCGUUUUGGAACAGACCGUGUCUUGAGUCAUCACUCACAAGUUUAUCAUUUCAACAGCGUGUGCACUCAUUUUUAAUAACGAUAUUGAGUGUGGAUGCAUCCAUCUUUGUACAUUAAAUCUAACUGAAACGUGCACCCCUCUCUCAUAUAGUUGGUUCGAAAUUGCCUAGUGACCUAGUUUGCUCUGCAAAUAAUCACUCCUUUUUUAUGUCAAGUGUGCAGGUCUCCAGUUGUGUUGUAUAUAUUCCUUCAUAAGUACAGAAUCCCAAUGGUUAUGUAUAUGUCAAUAAAGUCAUUAUUUUUUGUAUUCAAAAUUUUCUUCUGUUAUUGUGUUAUGGCUCUGUAAUAUAACUUGUGACUUGUACAUCAGAAGGCAUCAUAGGAUCUUUUGUUGCAGACUCAAUAGACAGUAGUUGGAGUAUUGUAAAUUCCUAAAUCAACGUAAAUAUACCAUAACCUAGGCUAGUGAGCGAACAUUGUUGCCAUGUGUCUCAUGAGUGACAAAUCAUUUAAAGACAAAUUACUACACAUGACCAAAAAACCUUGACUCUAACAUUUUAACAUUCCAAUGCACCUAUGGUUCCAGAAUAGAAGCCUUCAUUGACGUGUGACUUUGCGAUGUAAAAACCCUAUAAUAUUGGAAUAGAGUGGUGCAACUGAAAAGGUUGAAUUCAUAUCAGAUUGGGUUGGGGUUAUAUGUAAUAUAUUUGCAUUGUUGUUUGCAAUGAUGCAUUGUAAGCAAUCAAAUCAUUUCAG